AUGGAUAAAAAGAGAAAUCAAAUAUCAAAUACAAUUGGUUAAAAGUGAAUCAAUUCAUCAUCAACCAAUAUAAAACAGAAGUGAACUGAAGAUUAGAAGUCAACAAGUCAAACAUAUUUUUUUGGUUUUUUUGGAAUUAAAAUAAAUGCAAAAUUAAAAUGGACAAAAUAUGGUAAAACCUCAAAUUCAAUUCAAAUAAACUUCAACAAGUCCAAUUAAAUUCUCAUAGGUCUAACAUGGUCAAACAAGGAUUGACAAAUUUU
rnacentral:lncRNA from 1 species